GCGUUGUUGUAGCAUCUGCAUUGUAAUAUUUCAGUUUUCAGAUUUCUUUUCCAGAACGCGCAAAAGCUUGUCGCAUUUUGGCAUCAAGAUUUUCGUAAGGGAAAGAGGAGCUUUAUUACUCAUUGAACGGGGUUACAAUCAGUAGCGAUACCUGCUACGAUACACGGGUGGGCCUGACCAAGCAAAACAUCAGAAACCCGAGCAUCCACACAUGUUGAGGUGUGCUGCUCUAUAAAACCUACGAGAUUUACUCCAUCCUUUGUGUGUUUGGUUUUCUGCAUUUCGUCACCCGAGUGAAGAUGCAAAUGACGCAGACAGAGAAGUUAGCUUCAAAGUUGUUGUUUUUGUAAUUUUCGGCUUUAUCCUGAAUCUUUGUUGUCGUUCAAAAUUUGAUGUCACGCAAA